rnacentral:rRNA from 1 species
AGCGAACGCUGGCGGCAGGCUUAACACAUGCAAGUCGAGCGGGCAUCUUCGGAUGUCAGCGGCAGACGGGUGAGUAACACGUGGGAACGUACCCUUCGGUUCGGAACAACUCUGGGAAACUGGAGCUAAUACCGGAUACGCCCUUAUGGGGAAAGGUUUACUGCCGAAGGAUCGGCCCGCGUCUGAUUAGCUAGUUGGUGGGGUAACGGCCUACCAAGGCGACGAUCAGUAGCUGGUCUGAGAGGAUGAUCAGCCACACUGGGACUGAGACACGGCCCAGACUCCUACGGGAGGCAGCAGUGGGGAAUAUUGGGCAAUGGGCGCAAGCCUGAUCCAGCCAUGCCGCGUGAGUGAUGAAGGCCUUAGGGUUGUAAAGCUCUUUUGUCCGGGACGAUAAUGACGGUACCGGAAGAAUAAGCCCCGGCUAACUUCGUG